rnacentral:lncRNA from 1 species
UNAGGAAAGAAUUUAACUUGUAAUCUGACUUUCUUCACAAAUUAUAUUCAGGCACACACACAAGAAUAGGGUGACCAAGUGGUGAGCUGUGUUGCCAACCACAAACAAACUGAAGAGGAAUGGAAAUGGAUUCAACUAUUUCAACAGAUGGCCGGGAGCCAUGGACUGGAACAUCCAAAGAAUCGAUGCACGGCAGCAGCAUUGCAGGGGGUUUUAGCACAGAACUGCACCCCUGAGAUCCUAUGCAGAAGAUGCUGUAGAAACCAUUCCCUGCAAGGAAGGAGGAACCUGCAAUGUAUUUUAUGCUUCCAUGUUUAUUGUGUAUCUUAAAGAUUUCAUGUCUCAGUGCUGUCAAGGUUAAGCCUGUACAAAUGGCAGGAAGGACCUGAGGACCCUAAAGUAAUGGGAGAUUUUGAAACCAGUGACAGAACCUUAAGAAAAUGGAUUAGAGUGAAAGCACAAAUACUGCUGUGAAGAGCUUCUGCCCUGAAAUGGAGCAUUAUUCUCCGCUUGCAAAUAUACUUGCUGCUGAAGAAAACAAGCUUUUAUUCACAUUAUUUGUUUUGAGGUUUACAAAUGUUUUAGCUGGAGUUCCCUGUAGUAAAAGUUUGAUCUCUUUGGUGCUAUUAUGUUUCCAGAAUCAAGUCUAAUAAUAUUGUGCAACUCACAGAUAGGAAAUUUACUUUUAACAUAAUUCUGAAUAAUUCUCAUUCUUACUAUUGAAGUAAGAAUCAGUAACCCAUUGUACUGAAUACUUGGGGGAAAAACUCUUACAGUUGUGUAAAUCCUAAGAGGAGGACAAUAUCUUUACACCGUAAAUCUAACCACCGAUGUUAACUCUGUAUCCAGCACCUAACAUGCAAUCACAUCAGCUUUUUGCAGGUGGAUGAAAAUGAGAAAUGCAAGUUCUCGGCAGGCUCACAGAUGCAGCCUUCAUGUUAUCUAACCUGCAGGCAGCACCGGUUACUGGAGGAGUUAAUGUGCAGUUCCAGUAACUGCCAAGCGAGCCCAUAUAAUCAAGGAGACCAUUUAACAUGUUAAAAGUCAGGAACAUUCCACGCCAAAGUGCUGCCUCUCAUUUAUCCCCAAAGAAAUCCUCCUAAUAGCUUCUAAUAGCAAUGUUUAAAAGACUUCUCGUUUGAGCACAUUGUAACACGCCUUUGUUCUUUCCCUCCCUUUGCAAAGCCCACUACUGAGAGACCAAAGCUAUAAUUUCCUCAGCUUCUAAGUGCUCCGUAGGUUUCGCUGACCUUUAGAAAACACAUUCUUCUCCUUCCCCAUCUCCUUUAAAGCAGCUGCUUUUUCACAGCACGCCCUGUGGUCCAGGCCC